rnacentral:rRNA from 1 species
GAUGAACGCUGGCGGCGUGCCUAAUACAUGCAAGUCGAGCGAACAGAUGAGGAGCUUGCUCCUCUGACGUUAGCAGCGGACGGGUGAGUAACACGUGGAUAACCUACCUAUAAGACUGGGAUAACUUCGGGAAACCGGAGCUAAUACCGGAUAAUAUAUUGAACCGCAUGGUUCAAUAGUGAACGACGGUUUUGCUGUCACUUAUAGAUGGAUCCGCGCCGCAUUAGCUAGUUGGUAAGGUAACGGCUUACCAAGGCAACGAUGCGUAGCCGACCUGAGAGUGUGAUCGGCCACACUGGAACUGAGACACGGUCCAGACUCCUACGGGAGGCAGCAGUAGGGAAUCUUCCGCAAUGGGCGAAAGCCUGACGGAGCAACGCCGCGUGAGUGAUGAAGGUCUUCGGAUCGUAAAACUCUGUUAUUAGGGAAGAACAAAUGUGUAAGUAACUAUGCACGUCUUGACGGUACCUAAUCAGAAAGCCACGGCUAACUACGUG